rnacentral:rRNA from 1 species
GAUUAACGCUGGCGGCGUGCAUAACACAUGCAAGUCGAACGAUGAAACUUUAAUGACCCCUUCGGGGAGAAUUAAAGCGGAUUAGUGGCGAACGGGUGAGUAACGCGUGAGUAACCUGCCUUACACAAGGGGAUAGCCUUUGGAAACGAAGAAUAAUACCCUAUAAAACCAUAAAAGCACAUGCAAUUAUGGUCAAAGUGAUAGCGGUGUAAGAUGGACUUGCGUCUGAUUAGCUAGUUGGUGAGAUAAAAGCCCACCAAGGCAACGAUCAGUAGCCGGCUUGAGAGAGUGUACGGCCACAUUGGGACUGAGACACGGCCCAGACUCCUACGGGAGGCAGCAGUGGGGAAUUUUGCACAAUGGGGGAAACCCGGAUGCAGCGACGCCGCGUGAUUUAGAAGGCCUUCGGGUUGUAAAAAUCUUUUGUAUAGGAAGAAAAUGACAGUACUAUACGAAUAAGGUCCGGCUAAUUACGUG